CCCACAUGUGCUGUUCAUGAAGUGAG
rnacentral:piRNA from 1 species